GAUGAACGCUGGCGGCGUGCCUAAUACAUGCAAGUCGAGCGAACAGACGAGGAGCUUGCUCCUCUGACGUUAGCGGCGGACGGGUGAGUAACACGUGGAUAACCUACCUAUAAGACUGGGAUAACUUCGGGAAACCGGAGCUAAUACCGGAUAAUAUAUUGAACCGCAUGGUUCAAUAGUGAAAGACGGUUUUGCUGUCACUUAUAGAUGGAUCCGCGCCGCAUUAGCUAGUUGGUAAGGUAACGGCUUACCAAGGCGACGAUGCGUAGCCGACCUGAGAGGGUGAUCGGCCACACUGGAACUGAGACACGGUCCAGACUCCGACGGGAGGCAGCAGUAGGGAAUCUUCCGCAAUGGGCGAAAGCUUGACGGAGCAACGCCGCGUGAGUGAUGAAGGUCUUCGGAUCGUAAAACUCUGUUAUUAGGGAAGAACAAAUGUGUAAGUAACUAUGCACGUCUUGACGGUACCUAAUCAGAAAGCCACGGCUAACUACGUGC
rnacentral:rRNA from 1 species